UUGUAAAUGUCUUCCCCCGGCGGCGGCCGGCCGGAGCAGCGGAGCCGGCGCCGGCGUUUCUCGACCCCCGUGCGGCGGCCGCGGCUCUCCCUGCCCGGCGGCCUGUGCUCCAUGCACAGGCACAUCAUGACACAAUCUGGGCGGGGUAUCUUAGACCCAGAAUCCAUCUUCUCUUAGUGUCCUAUGCCAAUAGCAGCUGGCCCUAAACUCUGACAUGCUGUCUGCUACUCCCUGGCUCACGGCUAUAAUGGGGUCCUCUCUCACCUUGGGACCCAGUUUGCAAGGAUGCUUUCCUGAUGGAAACUGGGGAGAAAAGAGUCAAUCAAUCUUCUUUCCUGAAGCAGCUUGGUUGGUGUGUGGGCCAUUUGAACUAGCCACAGCAGGGAAGGAAGCUAUUUGAGGUGUCCUGUGUCCUUAUCUUCUGUCUGCCACUGGGGAUCUUCAUUUCCUCUAAUCUCAUUUGUUCCUUCAUUUGCUGGGUGGAAGAUCAAACUAUACAGCUGUGGGUAAAUUAUUUGGUAAAAGUUAAUCUAUUACAGUCAGCGACUGGUCUGGGCCAGUGCUCAGUGAUGUGUCAUACUAGCAUUUUUCUGGUGGCUCUGUCUGAAAGAGAUUUUAACUUUUCAUUAAAGCAAAAAUAAAAGUUGGGAUGUUCAAAAGCACUCAGCUUUGCCCUAACUCUGCUCUGGUCAAAGUCAGUAGUCCCCAUUGACGUCAGGGAGAGCAGAGUUAGUCCAAAACUGAGUGCUUUUGAAAAACCCCACCCUAUGAUUUAAGACAUCAGAUUGUGAAGAAAACCUCCCAGAUAUGACCUAGGCCAGUGCUAACUUAGGCUUGGUCCAUACUACAAAUAUUAUCAUGUCAGAGGACAGAGUGAUACACAAUAACCCCCCAUCCAUGUUACAGCACAAUUUAGUCUUGCCUGUGUUGACAUGACCAAGCCAUGUUAUAACCAUGUGACCAGAUGUAACCUCUUUAGACAGCUUGGGCCCACUUUUUUUGUGCUGACUUACACCUGGUGGAACUCCACUGACUUCACGUGGGAAGCACAGAUUAUAAGUCAGCACCGAACUUGGCCCAUCACAUGUAAGCUGUUGGCAGGACAUCCAAGGGGGUUAUGAAAGAAGCAGGUAGAGCCAAGGGACUGGUGAGAGGUCAAGGUCAGGGAAGGUGUAAUUGAAGCAACAUUAACCAUCAAAAUUGCUUUAUGUUUCAAUACAUGAACAGCUACACUGCUAGAACGUAUGUGACCUACUAAAAUAAACAUUGUCUUUUGGAGGGACUUAAGGAGUCUACUAAAAACAUUCAAAUACCAGUAAUAACAAAACAAAACAAAAUCAGUUUCAUGCAGUUUACUGUUGGAGUGAUUGUUCAAACGAGAUCUUCAAAUCUGUGGGCUUGUCUGCUCCAGACCAUGGCCUUUCAUCAGAAGAACUAUUUGCCUCAGUUUCCACU